rnacentral:lncRNA from 10 species
GAAAGGGCAGACAGUUGAGGCUUCUGUUUUUUGGGGCUUCAGGAAGAUGUUUUCUGGCCUUUUGGGUCUACUGAUGCUCCUGCAGGAAGGCUGCAGUUCUUAACAGCACAUGGGGAGCCCUCAUCUGGUGUUUGGCUUAAUUCCUGGUGCCUGGAUUUCUGGAGAGAGGUGUGAUUAAUGUGGCCAAGAACAUCCUUUUCCACCCAUGUUGGAGAGAUCGCUGUGUGGAUCUGGUCCCUACAAUUUAGAAGCAGCUUUUCACCUUGAUGCUCAAAUGACCAUGCUUAACCACUACUUGCCCUGCAUCCUUUUCACCAGCUGAGAUUCCCAGCAAGCAGUAGGCUCCCAUCCUGGACUCCAAGGAGACAACUCUUCCCUGCACCUUCACCUGGAAAGCUGUUGCCCUUUCUUCCCAGAUCACGAUCACAAGACUCCAAAUUACCGAGUGGGGUCCAACAAGGUGGGACUGUAAGGAACAUGUCCUGUGGACAUUACCUUCACUGUUCUCAUGAGUGGGAUGGGAAGAAAAGAGUCCUCCCCUUCCAAUUGGUGGAUUUUCUGGGCUUGGAAGGAGGAAAACAAAAACAAAAACAACCAAACAGAAAAUAACUAUUACCUGAAUUAUUAUGAAACUUCAGAGAAAACUACUUAUUUGAAGAAAAUAAAAUACGAUUUAUGUUGUUGAAUUUGCAUUGCCAGAAAGUUUCCAGUGUCCUUACUACAAUUUUUUUUUCACCAUCAAGUUUGGUCAGAAUCUCACAGCUCAGAGAAAAUUAUGGAGGAAUAAUAAGAUCUAGAGCAGUGCUUCUCGUAUCUUAUGUGUGAAGAAUCUUUUAUUAAUUUGUUUAAUUUCCAGACUGACAGUUUUGUAAAAUGCCUUAUUAGAAAAAAUUUUAAAAAUAAAGAAAUAAAAAGUCAAGCCCCAAAUAUUGUAUUUUAACACCCUAAAAUUUCAUUUCAAUAAAUAUAAUCAAAGUAACAUAACAGGAA